UACGUAGGGUGCAAGCGUUAAUCGGAAUUACUGGGCGUAAAGCGUGCGCAGGCGGUUAUGUAAGACAGAUGUGAAAUGCCCGGGCUUAACCUGGGAACUGCAUUUGUGACUGCAUGGCUAGAGUUUGGCAGAGGGGGGUAGAAUUCCACGUGUAGCAGUGAAAUGCGUAGAUAUGUGGAGGAACACCGAUGGCGAAGGCAGCCCCCUGGGUCAAGACUGACGCUCAUGCACGAAAAGCGUGGGGAGCAAAC
rnacentral:rRNA from 1 species